CAAAGGAGAAAGCUUUCUGAAAUGCUUUUGGAUGCUCAGAAUUGGAGUUUAGCCUGUUUGAUGAUUGGACUCAGAAAGGCCUUCUAAACCCGUUUGCUUCUUCCUCAUGGUUUGUGGCGGAUUGUAUUGGUGAUUAACACCGGUACCGGCACCGGCUAAUGAAGGGUACAAGGUUAUGGUUGAGAAGCACACGUGCCGGGAACAAAACGCUCAACGUGAAUUGCCUAUCAUUUCUACGAAAAUGAUGAGUCCGUUCAUGAAUCUCAGC